GACGAACGCUGGCGGCGUGCUUAACACAUGCAAGUCGAACGGAAAGGCCCCUUUGGGGGUACUCGAGUGGCGAACGGGUGCGUAACACGUGAGUAACCUGCCCUUGACUUCGGGAUAACUUCAGGAAACUGGGGCUAAUACCGGAUAGGAAUCCUUGCUGCAUGGUGGGGGUUGGAAAGCUUCGGCGGUUUUGGAUGGACUCGCGGCUUAUCAGCUUGUUGGUGGGGUAGUGGCUUACCAAGGCUUUGACGGGUAGCCGGCCUGAGAGGGCGACCGGCCAAAUUGGGACGGAGAUACGGCCCAGACUCCUACGGGGGGCAGCAGGGGGGAAUAUUGCACAAUGGGCGGAAGCCUGAUGCAGCAACCCCGGGUGCGGGAUGACGGCCUUCGGGUUGUAAACCGCUUUCAGCGGGGGGGAAGCUUGUGGGGAGGGUACCUGAAAAAAAAGCACCGGCAAACUAGGG
rnacentral:rRNA from 1 species